rnacentral:tRNA from 1 species
GCGCAGGUGGUGGAACGGCAGACACGCUAGCCUCAGGAGCUAGUGGGCGAAAGCCCUUGGGGGUUCAAAUCCCCCUCUGCGCA